rnacentral:ncRNA from 1 species
GCUUAUAUGCGAGCAAUUCUUAAAACAAAUUGCGUCAGUAUUAAAGUUUUAAAUAUCUACACUCUAUAAUAAAAAAAUCGACGUACCAAGAAGGUGUUGUCCGACGGAAACAAAAAUUGGUGGAUAUGAAGAUCAUGUACAGAAUAGAAAAUGAUUAAAAUUUCAGAACGAUUGAAUGUGACGUCGACGGGAGACCCGGGGAAGAGUUAUCUUUUCUUUGUAAGAACUCGUGUCCCAGAAAUCGGAUCAUCCGGAGAUAGGGAUGGUGAGUUCGUAAAAGCACCGCGGCUCUUGCGGUGUCCGGUACGCUCCUGUCGACCCUUGCUAAUCCGAGGGAGAGAUUAUGAUUUUCGUGCCAGACCGUACCCAUAUCCGCAGCAGGUCUCCAAGGUGAACAGCCUCUAGU